rnacentral:rRNA from 1 species
GUGAACGCUGGCGGUAGGCCUAACACAUGCAAGUCGAACGGCAGCACAGUAAGAGCUUGCUCUUACGGGUGGCGAGUGGCGGACGGGUGAGGAAUACAUCGGAAUCUACUUUUUCGUGGGGGAUAACGUAGGGAAACUUACGCUAAUACCGCAUACGACCUACGGGUGAAAGCAGGGGAUCGUCGGACCUUGCGCGAUUGAAUGAGCCGAUGUCGGAUUAGCUAGUUGGCGGGGUAAAGGCCCACCAAGGCGACGAUCCGUAGCUGGUCUGAGAGGAUGAUCAGCCACACUGGAACGGAGACACGGUCCAGACUCCUACGGGAGGCAGCAGUGGGGAAUAUUGGACAAGGGGCGCAAGCCUGAUCCAGCCAUACCGCGUGGGUGAAGAAGGCCUUCGGGUUGUAAAGCCCUUUUGUUGGGAAAGAAAAGCAGCAGGUUAAUACCCCGCUGUUCUGACGGUACCCAAAGAAUAAGCACCGGCUAACUUCGUG